rnacentral:misc_RNA from 1 species
GAUGAAGAACGCAGCGAAAUGCGAUACGUAAUGUGAAUUGCAGAAUUCAGUGAAUCAUCGAGUCUUUGAACGCACAUUGCGCCCCUUGGUAUUCCGGGGGGCAUGCCUGUCCGAGCGUCAUUGCUGCCCUCAAGCACGGCUUGUGUGUUGGGCCUCCGUCCUCCUCCCGGGGGACGGGCCCGAAAGGCAGCGGCGGCACCGCGUCCGGUCCUCGAGCGUAUGGGGCUUCGUCACCCGCUCUUGUAGGCCCGGCCGGCGCUUGCCGACACAUCAAUCUUUUUUCCAGGUUGACCUCGGAUCAGGUAGGGAUACCCGCUGAACUUAAGCAUAUCAAUAAGCGGAGGA